GACGAACGCUGGCGGCGUGCUUAACACAUGCAAGUCGAACGGAAAGGCCCUGCUUUUGUGGGGUGCUCGAUUGGCGAACGGGUGAGUAACACGUGAGUAACCUGCCCUUGACUUUGGGAUAACUUCAGGAAACUGGGGCUAAUACCGGAUAGGAGCUCCUGCUGCAUGGUGGGGGUUGGAAAGUUUCGGCGGUUGGGGAUGGACUCGCGGCUUAUCAGCUUGUUGGUGGGGUAGUGGCUUACCAAGGCUUUGACGGGUAGCCGGCCUGAGAGGGUGACCGGCCACAUUGGGACUGAGAGACGGACCAGACUGCUACGGGAGGCAGCAGUGGGGAAUAUUGCACAAUGGGCGGAAGUCUGAUGCAGCAACGCCGCGUGCGGGAUGACGGCCUUCGGGUUGUAAACCGCUUUCGCCUGUGACGAAGCGUGAGUGACGGUAAUGGGUAAAGAAGCACCGGCUAACUACGUG
rnacentral:rRNA from 1 species